ACUCCUACGGGAGGCAGCAGUAGGGAAUCUUCCACAAUGGGCGCAAGCCUGAUGGAGCAACACCGCGUGAGUGAAGAAGGGUUUCGGCUCGUAAAGCUCUGUUGUUAAAGAAGAACACGUAUGAGAGUAACUGUUCAUACGUUGACGGUAUUUAACCAGAAAGUCACGGCUAACUACGUGCCAGCAGCCGCGGUAAUACGUAGGUGGCAAGCGUUAUCCGGAUUUAUUGGGCGUAAAGAGAGUGCAGGCGGUUUUCUAAGUCUGGUGUGAAAGCCUUCGGCUUAACCGGAGAAGUGCAUCGGAAACUGGAUAACUUGAGUGCAGAAGAGGGUAGUGGAACUCCAUGUGUAGCGGUGGAAUGCGUAGAUAUAUGGAAGAACACCAGUGGCGAAGGCGGCUACCUGGUCUGCAACUGACGCUGAGACUCGAAAGCAUGGGUAGCGAACAGGAUUAGAUACCCUGGUAGGAUAGCG
rnacentral:rRNA from 1 species